GACGAACGCUGGCGGCGUGCUUAACACAUGCAAGUCGAGCGGUAAGGCCCUUUCGGGGUACGACGAGCGGCGAACGGGUGAGUAACACGUGGGUGACCUGCCCUCAGCUCUGGGAUAAGCCCGGGAAACGUGGGUCUAAUACCGGAUAUGACUCCAUGACGCAUGUUGUGGGGUGGAAAGCCUUGUGCGGCUGAGGAUGGGCCCGCGGCCUAUCAGCUUGUUGGUGGGGUGAUGGCCUACCAAGGCGACGACGGGUAGCCGGCCUGAGAGGGCGACCGGCCACACUGGGGACUGAGACACGGCCCAGACUCCUACGGGAGGCAGCAGUGGGGAAUCUUGCGCAAUGGGCGAAAGCCUGACGCAGCGACGCCGCGUGAGGGAUGACGGCCU
rnacentral:rRNA from 1 species